rnacentral:rRNA from 1 species
GACGAACGCUGGCGGCGUGCUUAACACAUGCAAGUCGAACGGAAAGGCCCUGCUUGCAGGGUACUCGAGUGGAGAACGGGUGUGUAACACGUGGGUGAUCUGCCCUGCACUUCGGGAUAAGCCUGGGAAACUGGGUCUAAUACCGGAUAGGAGCCAUUUUUAGCGUGAUGGUUGGAAAGUUUUUUGGGUGUAGGAUGAGCUCGCGGCCUAUCAGCUUGUUGGUGGGGUAAUGGCCUACCAAGGCGGCGACGGGUCGCCGGCCUGGGAGGGUGGACGGCCACAUUGAGACUGAGAGACGGCCCAGACUCGUACGGGAGGCAGCAGUGGGGAAUAUUGCACAAUGGGCGCAGGCCUGAUGCAGCGACGCCGCGGGGGGGAUGACGGCCUUCGGGUUGUAAACUCCUUUCGCGAGGGACGAAGCGUUUGGUGACGGUACCUAGAGAAGAAGCACCGGCUAACUACGUG